AUCCGAAAAGAAUAGACAAAAAUGAUUGAAAAAAGUUCGUUAACUAUCGCCUGAAUGAAGAAACACAGAAAAAGUGUAAACAGAACACUUUAAAUCGGAGCAAGCAACUUUACACAUAUACUGGGGGCUCCAUAAUAUUGGCAAGAAAAAAAGACGAAGUGGAGAGAGAGCAAGGAAGGCCCGUUGGUAGAGGAGAGUUGUUUAUCAUGACUCAUAA